rnacentral:rRNA from 1 species
AUUGAACGCUGGCGGCAGGCCUAACACAUGCAAGUCGAGCGAGCGGCGGACGGGUGAGUAAUGUAUGGGAAUCUGCCUGAUAGAGGGGGAUAACUACUGGAAACGGUAGCUAAUACCGCAUACUAUCAGAUGUGCCCAGAUGGGAUUAGCUAGUGGGUGGGGUAAAGGCUCACCAAGGCGACGAUCCCUAGCUGGUCUGAGAGGAUGAUCAGCCACACUGGGACUGAGACACGGCCCAGACUCCUACGGGAGGCAGCAGUGGGGAAUAUUGCACAAUGGGCGCAAGCCUGAUGCAGCCAUGCCGCGUGUAUGAAGAAGGCCUUCGGGUUGUAAAGUACUUUCAGCGGGGAGGCGUUACCCGCAGAAGAAGCACCGGCUAACUCCGUGCCAGCCGCCGCGGUAAUUC